GACGAACGCUGGCGGCGUGCUUAACACAUGCAAGUCGAGCGGUAAGGCCCUUUCGGGGGUACGACGAGCGGCGAACGGGUGAGUAACACGUGGGUGACCUGCCCUCAGCUCUGGGAUAAGCCUGGGAAACCGGGUCUAAUACUGGAUAUGACUCCAUGACGCAUGUUGUGGGGUGGAAAGCCUUGUGCGGCUGAGGAUGGGCCCGCGGCCUAUCAGCUUGUUGGUGGGGUGAGGCCUACCAAGGCGACGACGGGUAGCCGGCCUGAGAGGGCGACCGGCCACACUGGGACUGAGACACGGCCCAGACUCCUACGGGAGGCAGCAGUGGGGAAGUCUUGCGCAAUGGGCGAAAGCCUGACGCAGCGACGCCGCGUGAGGGAUGACGGCCU
rnacentral:rRNA from 1 species